AUGCUCAUUUCAGCAGCACAUAUACUAAAACCGGCCCUUUACAGAGAAGAUGAGCACAGCCCCUGCACAAGAAUGGCGUGCAAAUUUGUGAACUGUUCCAUAUUUUU
rfam:Ailuropoda melanoleuca scaffold3455_8, whole genome shotgun sequence.